GAUGAAGAACGUAGUGAAAUGCGAUAAGUAAUGUGAAUUGCAGAAUUCAGUGAAUCAUCGAAUCUUUGAACGCACAUUGCGCCCGCCAGUAUUCUGGCGGGCAUGCCUGUCUGAGCGUCAUUUCAACCCUCAAGCAACUUCUGCUUGGUGUUGGGGAUCGGCCGUCAAACGCCGCCCCCGAAAUCUAUUGGCGAUCUCGCUGUAGCUUCCUAUGCGUAGUAGUAACAUCUCGCAUCUGGAGAGCGGCGCGGUCAUGCCGUAAAACACCCAACUUCUCAGGUUGACCUCAGAUCAGGUAGGAAUACCCGCUGAACUUAAGAAUAUCAAUAAGCGGAGGA
rnacentral:misc_RNA from 1 species